AGGUAAGCUACUAAGAGCGAAUGGUGGAUGCCUUGACUGGUAAAGGCGAUGAAGGACGUACUAGACUGCGAUAAGCUACGGGGAGCUGUCAAGAAGCUUUGAUCCGUAGAUUUCCGAAUGGGGCAACCCAAUGUAUAGAGAUAUACAUUACCUAUAUAGGAGCGAACGAGGGGAAUUGAAACAUCUUAGUACCCUCAGGAAAAGAAAUCAAUAGAGAUUGCGUCAGUAGCGGCGAGCGAAAGCGCAAGAGGGCAAACCCAGUGCUUGCACUGGGGGUUGUAGGACUGCAAUGUGCAAGAGCUGAGUUUAGCAGAACAUUCUGGAAAGUAUAACCAUAGAGGGUGAUAGUCCCGUAUGCGAAAAACAAACCUUAGCUAGCAGUAUCCUGAGUAGGGCGGGACACGAGGAAUCCUGUCUGAAUCCGGGUCGACCACGAUCCAACCCUAAAUACUAAUACCAGAUCGAUAGUGCACAAGUACCGUGAGGGAAAGGUGAAAAGAACUGAGGUGAUCAGAGUGAAAUAGAACCUGAAACCAUUUGCUUACAAUCAUUCAGAGCACUAUGUAGCAAUACAGUGUGAUGGACUGCCUUUUGCAUAAUGAGCCUGCGAGUUGUGGUGUCUGGCAAGGUUAAGCAAACGCGAAGCCGUAGCGAAAGCGAGUCUGAAUAGGGCGCUUAGUCAGAUGCUGCAGACCCGAAACGAAGUGAUCUAUCCAUGAGCAAGUUGAAGCUAGUGUAAGAACUAGUGGAGGACUGAACCCAUAGGCGUUGAAAAGCCCCGGGAUGACUUGUGGAUAGGGGUGAAAGGCCAAUCAAACUUCGUGAUAGCUGGUUCUCUCCGAAAUAUAUUUAGGUAUAGCGUUGUGUCGUAAUAUAAGGGGGUAGAGCACUGAAUGGGCUAGGGCAUACACCAAUGUACCAAACCCUAUCAAACUCCGAAUACCUUAUAUGUAAUCACAGCAGUCAGGCGGCGAGUGAUAAAAUCCGUCGUCAAGAGGGAAACAACCCAGACUACCAGCUAAGGUCCCUAAAUCUUACUUAAGUGGAAAACGAUGUGAAGUUACUUAAACAACCAGGAGGUUGGCUUAGAAGCAGCCAUCCUUUAAAGAAAGCGUAAUAGCUCACUGGUCUAGUGAUUUUGCGCGGAAAAUAUAACGGGGCUAAAGUAAGUACCGAAGCUGUAGACUU
rnacentral:rRNA from 1 species